CUGUGUGUGUUUGUGUGUGUGUUUGUGUCUGACUGUGUGUGUCUGACUGUGUGUGUGUGUUUGUGUCUGACUGUGUAUGUGUGUGUGUGUGUGUGUGUGUGUGUUUGUGUCUGACUGUGUCUGUGUAUGUGUCUGACUGUGUGUGUGUGUGUGUUUGUGUAUGUGUCUGACUGUGUGUGUUUGUGUAUGUGUCUGACUGUGUGUGUGUGUGUUUGUGUAUGUGUCUGACUGUGUGUGUGUGUAUUUAGAAGGUGGGGCGGGGGGAAGGGUUGGGUGGGG